AUACGUAGGGGGCGAGCGUUGUCCGGAAUGAUUGGGCGUAAAGGGCGCGUAGGCGGCCCGGUAAGUCUGGAGUGAAAGUCCUGUUUUUGAGAUGGGAAUUGCUUUGGAUACUGUCGGGCUUGAGUGCAGGAGAGGUAAGUGGAAUUCCCAGUGUAGCGGUGAAAUGCGUAGAGAUUGGGAGGAACACCAGUGGCGAAGGCGACUUACUGGACUGUAACUGACGCUGAGGCGCGAAAGUGUGGGGAGCAAACAGGAUUAGAUACCCUGGUAGUCCACACUGUAAACGAUGAAUGCUAGGUGUAGGGGGUAUCGACCCCUUCUGUGCCGCAGUCAGCACAAUAAGCAUUCCGCCUGGGGAGUACGGCCGCAAGGUUGAAACUCAAAGGAAUUGACGGGG
rnacentral:rRNA from 1 species